GGCGAUCAGAUACCGCCCUAGUUCUGACCGUAAACGAUGCCAACUAGCGAUCCGCCAGUCGACUCAUCGCUCUGGUGGGGAGCUUCCCGGAAACGAAAGUCUUCCGGUUCCGGGGGAAGUAUGGUUGCAAAGCUGAAACUUAAAGGAAUUGACGGAAGGGCACCACCAGGAGUGGAGCCUGCGGCUUAAUUUGACUCAACACGGGGAAACUCACCCGGCCCGGACACCGUAAGGAUUGACAGAUUGAUAGCUUUUUCAUGAUUCGGUGGAUGGUGGUGCAUGGCCGUUCUUAGUUCGUGGAGCGAUUUGUCUGGUUUAUUCCGAUAACGAGCGAGACUCUGGCCUACUAAAUAGUUGACGCAUUGCCACUGUGCGCACAACUUCUUAGAGGGAUUUUCGGUGUUUUCAACCGCACGAAAUUGAGCAAUAACAGGUCUGUGAUGCCCUUAGAUGUCCGGGGCUGCACGCGCGCUACACUGGCAAACGCAACGUGCCUGUCCUGCCCCGAAAGGAGCGGGUAAACCCCUGAAAUUUUGCCGUGAUUGGGAUCGGACAUUGCAACUAUGGUCCGUGAACGAGGAAUUCCUUGUAGGGGCGAGUCAUCAACUCGUCCCGAAUACGUCCCUGCCCUUUGUAA
rnacentral:rRNA from 1 species